rnacentral:lncRNA from 1 species
GGCUACUGUAUUGGAUAGUGCAGACACAGAACAUUUCCAUCACAGCAGCUCUGAAAGAGGCAUUUUCUGAACUGUUCAUGUAUAACUACAUUUCCCCUCCUAAAGUAUAAAGCUUUGUAAAAGCAAAAAAAGAAAAAAAAAUUCUAAAUUUACCUACUUUAAAUUUGCAUAGCAUAUAGAUGAGUCACUUCUUAUUUAUAGCUAGAUUAAAAAUAUUCUUCUAAGGGGUUUUUUAUACUUAUUAUUUCUUCGUUUCACACAUGUGAAUUUAUGAUUUCCUCUAGUUACAGUGUUACCAGAGAAACUAAUCCAUAAUGCUUCAUCUCUAAAUUUCAAAGUCAAAGGUGCUACAAACAUUUGGGCAUUACAGUUAACUUAUAUUUUACACUCAAGAGAAAGGUCUUAAUUUAUGAGUCUUGAUUCAGUUACUUUGGGUUAAUAAUAUAUUAUGUCAAAACCAAAUGCCAUUUCCAUAUCCCACUUGAGCUGCGUAUUUCUACCAUAUUUUUGAAUUGUGAUACGAAAUCAUUAAAGGACUUUAUUCUCAAUAAAAAUAAUUGGAUUUCACACAUUUAAAAAACAUUUGUGGCAUGGAUUAAUUUAUUAUACUUGCUUCCUCCUUAUUAGAUAUCAUUUACUUAUCAAACAGAUAGUUGACAGAAGACUCCAGAGACAUACUACGAGGAAGUGACCAGUGUUCAUCUGAAACGGAUGCCUUGUUUCUCAGAAAUGUCAUUCUCUUUAUUUCAUCUUCGUAGUUCUGUGCCUUCUCUCAGCAAUUUCUGAUUUCUUUAUUUACUGCCACACAGAUGACAAAUGACAUGCAUGUCCAUGAUACCCUUUACUCAAUUCACAUGCGAUUUCCAAGGCUGGCUAUAAUUCCCAAACCCUCCCACUCAAGAAGGUACAUUUCAGGAUACAAAUGACUCAAAGUACAAUGGAAUCAGUCUAGCUUUAUAAUUAUAUCAUCCCCAAACUUUGGUAUGUUUAACAAGCAUAAUCAACAAAUCUCUUGGGAUAUACCUCACAAAUGAACUCACGUACUACUGUUACUUCUAUUGUUGGGAUAGGUAUAUUUUGCCUCCAGAGCAAGACUUUUAAGACACUAGAGGAGAGGGACAAAUCUUAGGCUUCUUCUAUUCUCCUGGUGUGCCUGGUAUGCUACUGAUAUUGAGCAUGUAAUAAGUAAACUAAAUACUCUUUUUAUGUCCCUUCUUUUUCAUUACUCUUGACUGUUAAAGACUUCUCCAUAGAUGGCAGCAUGUUUUAAUGUAAACACUGUAGGUUUUUUGCAGAGGUUCAGCAGCAAACUACAGGUAUGGCCACAGGUUUCUCCAUGGAUAGACUACACCACCUACCAAGGGUUUGCUUCAGGUUCAGAAUAAACAUGAGCAAGGCAAGGCCCAACCUUGAGGUAUCUGGGUGAUCUAUCUAAAGGCUGGAUUUAAAUUUAGCUCUUGAGUAACCAAUGCUACUAUUAUCAAUACCCAAGUAUUAUCAACCUCUUCAAGGCUUUCAGGAAAGCCAGGCACUGUAGGGAAAAGCAAAAAGGGAAUAUGAGCCCUCUUUGAGAACCUCCAACACUUUAACAGCCAUUAUUACCUUGGAAAAUUGGAC